rnacentral:tRNA from 1 species
GGGCGUGUAACUCAGUGGUAGAGUGCUCGCUUUGCAUCCUUCCGGUGCUGAAUUGCGAGAAGCCCAGGGUUCGACUCCCUGCUCGUCCA